rfam:Monodelphis domestica cont3.008501, whole genome shotgun sequence.
CUAUAAAAGAUGUAACAGAUGCAAACUGUAAAACAAGGGCAAUUAACCCUUUCUCUGCCGGCAAACUCUGUCCUAGCCCCAGCACCUAUUGUCUACUGCUAUACUAGAAGCUUUGCAGAAAACCUGGAA